AGGCUGCUAACGGCUGGUCUAACCCGCCGGAGCAGGAGGACCUGAGGGUAAAAGUAGCCCGAGGGCUUCCUGUGGGAGGCGCGCUGAAAUGACCCCGUUGCUCGGACUGCAACAGCUGGGCUCCUUGAGCUUAGUUAUACCAUAAAAUUGGUUACUGCACAUGUAGAGCAUUGUCACCAGUUAACGAUCUAGUGCGCCUUACUUGGCAAUGGUCCAGGGAAGAUGGAGGAAGUAUCAGGAGGGCAAUCAAGAUGGAAAUGACAAGUUCCAAGAAGACUGGGAUGGCAGAACCAAAUGAGCUUUGUACUGGAUUGGCCAUGGCAGAUAAUCUCCUACGUUGGUGGCCUCCUAGCUUCAGGAAUUGUGGUUCAGGCAUGGAGCCCAAAAGGCAAUGGAUUCCAGAGCUCAAAUGCAUGGCAGCAGGAAGCUAUGACCUGAGCCUAGCCCCAGGUGAUGCUGUCAAGCUCUUACAAAGACAGAGCUAUACCUGCCUGUCCCGCAGGUGUGAGCUGUAAUUCUGUUUCGUGGACAUCGUUUUCACCACCAUUUUCCCCUUCCAGUUUGAAGAGGUGUUUCUGGAAUGGAGCUGGGAUCGAUACUAUGUUUUGUUCAAUUCUAGAGACUAUAUUGCUGGGAGGUCUCUUCAGAAUCAAUAACUGAUGCAUGAUGUUACAGAAUCUUGCAUGAAACCACCAUUCAAAGUACAAGAAAGACAAAUGGAUUUUAAUGUAAAAGCACCAGAAGUUCAGUAAUAUGGUUUCAGAUUCCACCUUGCAACUAAUCUAAAGAAGCUACUACUUAUUUUGAGGAGGUAUCAGAGAAGAAUAUAUACUAUUUGCUGAAAAGGAUACUAAAGUACUCCUCCCCUUUUCAACUAUACAUCUGUGUGAGCAAAGGUUUUGUCUAUAUACUCAACCAAAGCAACAUAUGGAAACAAAUUACAUGCAGAAGAUUUGAGAUGCUAUUUUUCUUCUAUUAAUUGAGACAUUGAAGAAAUUUGCAGAAAAGUAAAAAAGGGGGGGAAGGUAAUUUCCCUUGUUUUCUGCUGAUUUUAUUAGGUUUUUGAUUGCUUAAGAUAAAAUUAAGUCCUAUAAGAGAGUUUAUUCAAAUCUUUAUCUGUACUAAAGCUUCUUUUUGGUGUAUAAUUUUGGUUAAACUACUAUUUUUACAAUAUAUGAUAUUUUAUUAAUAUAAAUAUUCUAACACUUUAAAAAUCUGAUAGCCUGGAUUUAAUGCUGUAAAUUGUGAUUGUUAACAUAUUAUAGAGAUAACUAAAUCGUUUUGCUAAAUUUCUAAGCUAUCUAAAUAUAAAUUUCUAAGUUAUCUAAGUAUAAAUAAAGAAUAUACUAUUUAUAGUCAUAUGAGAUAUCAUGAGCCAUGUCUCUAUAGUUAUAAGGGGCAAUCCCUCUUUAGUCACCCUUCAUCUUAAGACAAAUUUAAGGUUAAGAUUUUGGCAUAGGAGAUGUGUAAGACUGUUUUUUUGUUUUGUUUUGUUUUGUUUGUUUUUGUUAUUUGGGGAAGGGGGGUACUGAGAUUGAACCUAGGAGCACUCUGCCACUGAGUUACAUCCCCAGUCCUUUUUUAUUUUUUAUUUUAAGACCAUAAUCUUAUUAAAUUGAUAAGGCUCUCACUAAAUUUCUGAGGCUGGCCUCAUACUUGUAAUCCUCCUGCUCAGCUUCCAGAGUCUCUGGGAUUACAGGUAUGCAGCACCCUACAGGCAAAAGUGGCUAUAAGGUCUUUAAAGGUUUUCUUUAAAACCUUUGUUUUAAAGUUGUGCUGUUUACACUGUGACUUAGUUUACAAAAUACACUUAAGUGUAUAUACAUGUUCUUAUAACUUGUGUUCAAAAUUUUUACUGUUCUGAAAAAUGUAUGUAAAGAUAUUAUAAAAUAUGUUGAACUUUCUACCCAGAGUACCCAGAUGCUAACAAGUACUCUUCUUAGUGAAAUGUGACAGGACUACCUUUACAGCAAGUUGAUUUUCUUGAUUAUAUAAAUAUAGAUUAGAUAGAAUUAAAGAGAUUAUGGUUAUUAGCUUAACUCUAUUAUGCAACUGGCCAAAUGUGGUGGCACACGUCUAUAAUCCCAGAGACUGGGGAGGCUGAAGUAGAAGGAUCACAAGUUAGAGGCCAACCUGGGCAACUUAGUCCUGUGUCAAAAUAAAAAAUAAAAAGAGGACUGUUUUGAAAAAAAAAAAAAAGUUGUGGUGCUGUUUUGUGACUCAGUGGCAGACCACUUGCCUAGCAUAUAUGAGACCCUGGGUACAAUCCUCUGCACAACAAAAUCCUCUGCUGUGGAUGUAGCUCAGUUGUAAAUCACCUCUAGGUGCAAUACCCAGUACCUACAAUGCAAAUCUAUUAUGCAGACUGGAUUGUUCUACUCUUGUUGAUGUUUUUUGUUUUUUGUUUUUGUUUGCUUUUGGCCUAAGAAUUAAUAUUUCCCAAAACUUCUGUUGGUUAAAAUAGGCUAAAAAGGGGUCUUCUGAUACUGACUCCUAAACUGUCGCUUUCCCUCCAAACCUGGGACCAAUCAUAUCAAAAAUCAGGCAAUGGAGCUGGGGCUGGGACUUAGCAGUAGAGCGCUCACCUGGCACGUGUAAGGCACUGGGUUCGAUCCUCAGCACCAAUAAAAAUAAACAAAAUAAAAGUAUUGUGUCCAUCUACAACUAAAAAUAUAUAUUUAAAAAAAUCAGGACAAGGCUCCAGUUUCAUGGGAACAAGGUGCUUGGCAAAUAAUCAGCAAUGUCUUCAUGGGAAAUCGUUCAGCGUCAGGGGAAAAUCAUGUGGAGUCCCUUGUCAAAUUCCACCAAAAAUAGUGGGAAGUCCUAGAAAGUGAGUUCUUACGCAAUCUAACACUAAAGUUCUCCCCUAGGCAGAGCUAUCAAGUGUUUCUGAUUUUGCCUCCUUCAGAAAUAAAUAUCUGACUCAUAUUCCAGUCCCUUCAUUGGGAUCUAUAUACUGAUCCAACAAUAAUAAACUACCAUCCACAUGACAUGGAGCCCCAAUUCCCUAAGAUUAGGAAUGAACUAAAUAGGGAGGAUUUGAAGCAGACCUCCUUUGAAAUUAAAAGUUCCAAAUUAUUUUAACUUCUGAGCUUCCUCACACUAAGAAUAAAAGCCUCAUGCCGGGGACAGACACCAAGGAAGCACAGAUGUACAUGUUCUGGGGCUAACUAAAUCUUUAUAUGUAUAUUUCCUGUAUUUCAUCCCACCUUGCCUCCUCUCUUAUAAAAGAUUUCCACACCCCUGAGUCCCCUGAAGAUGGAGAUUUGAAACAAAAAGUUCUCAUCUGUCUUCCUCAAAGCUGCCUUUUGAAUAAACCUAUUUUCUUGGCAGCCCAUCUCCAGAGUUUUUAGUGGAGCAAUAAGCAGUAAAAUAUUUCCCCCAUUGUAACAGGAUCACUUAUUAUAAAAUUAAUUUGUGUUUUAUUUUUCCUGGUUUUUCCUCACCUAACCCUGCUUUCCUCUGUCUUUGCAUACCACUCUCCACUUCCAAGCCUAGACAAAGGACUUUGGAUUCUCUCUGUUCAGGGAACCCUGAGCUCAGAGGUUCCUUUCAGACAAAUUUCCUUUUCAGACUUUUAUUUGCUGGAGGCUGGAGUUCCUUGAGAGGAUUGCAGGUGUAUUGGGGAGUGUCUCGAGGAGCCCAGGACCUUUGAAGGCAGAUAGGGAGAAAGAGUGUCCUGGACUGGAAAUCAGGUGAGGUAGGUGGAUCCUUCAUGGGGCUGAGACAUUCCUCAGCAGGAGGCAACUCAAGGGCUGGUAAGGCCUCAGAGGUGAACAGUUGUUCCUGGGGCCCCUCAGGAAGCUGUACCCCGAUACCUGGACUCCAGGCAAGUGCAAUACCACUGAACUGUAUCACCCACACAUGGAUUCCAGAAUCCACAAAUAUUCCUACACUCAAAUGUGUGGGCAUGCAGAGAAAUCCAUGCCUUCAGAAGACCUCGGGACCUUAACAAUGAGAAUAUCAUGGACUCAAAUUGGACUGGAGUGGAGAGUGGACCAAGUGAUCACUCUGAAGAUGGGAGGACUUACACUAGGAUGAUGGUUCCAAAAAAGACACCUGGGUACCUGAAGCCCAAGAAGCCUGGGAGGUAGUUAGAUGGUAAGGGUUCAGCUCUGGGUUAAAGGAUUAAUGGGAUAUCACAGGAGUAGCUUUUCUAUACAAGUGAGCUUUUUCUAGUUGCCUUGUUCUUCUGAGCACCAAGUGCCCUGCUUUGCCUCAGGACUCUGAUGAGAGUCCCUGCCAGCAAGAAGUCUCUCAGCAGAUGUGCCCUUCAACAUUGGACUCCCCAGCCUCCAGAACUGUAAAACAAAUUCCUCCUAUAAAUUACCCAAUUUGUAGUAUUCAAAUAUAGCAGCAGAAGACCUCACAGCAUAUUCUAAAUAGCACAACAGACAGCCUACUUGAAGAGGAACUGCGAAGACAUGGCUGUGAUAAAGGUCUUCUGUUUUUUAUUUCUUUUCUUUUUUCAGCACUAGGGAUUAAAUUCAGAGGUACUCUCUACAUCCCCAGCCGUUUUUAUUCAUUCAUUCGUUUGUUUGUUUGUUUAUUUUAUUAGAGACAGGGUCUCCCUAAGUUGCCUUGAACUUGCCUCCUGAGUGAUUGGGACUACAAGGCAUUUGCCCUCACACCCAGCUUCUCUUUCUUUUCAUAUUUCCAUUCUGUUCAGGAAGGCUCAGGCUUUCUGGAAAUAAAAUAAUUUGUUAAUAAACAUUAAAUAAAUACAAAAGAAUAUUUGUAAAAGAAUCUUUAUAACAGAAACAAAGAAUAAUACAAAGAAUAACAAGAUGAGCCUUUAAACCGAAGCUGAUCUCAUCUAAAACAACUCAAGCCACGAGGAUCUGUUGAUUUUAUUACAAUAACCAAUAUGGAACCACAGUCACUCAACCUACCUACCCUGGCAGAAACCUUUCAUGCUGUGAUGACAAUAAAGGGAAUAUCAAAAUGGCACCCUGUGGGGCUGGGGAUGUGGCUCAAGUGGUAGCACACUCGCCUGGCAUCCUCAGCACCACAUACAAACAAAGAUGUUGUAUCCGCCGAUAACUAAAAAAUAAAUAUUAAAAAAAUUCUCUCUCUCUCUCUUGUUCUCUCCCUCUCUCUUAAAAAAAAGAAAUGGC